UGCGGGGUGGAGCAGUCUGGUAGCUCGUCGGGCUCAUGACCCGAAGGUCGUAGGUUCAAAUCCUGCCACCGCAACCA
rnacentral:tRNA from 1 species